rnacentral:lncRNA from 1 species
CGAUGAUGACCGAUGAGAGAAGAUGAAAGACCGACGACACCACGUUGAUGAUGGCAGAUGGGGGAAGAUGAAAUCUUAGAGUCGGUGAUGGAAAAAAAUCGAAAAAUAAAAGACGGAAGUCGAUGAAGGCCGUCAGAAAAGUCCGACGAACACUGAUGGCCGAUGGGUGAAAACAAGACACCCUCAUCGGUGAUGGGAGAAGACGAAGACGAUGAUGGCCGGCGAAC